UACGGAGGGUGCAAGCGUUAUCCGGAUUCACUGGGUUUAAAGGGUGCGUAGGUGGGAUGGUAAGUCCGUGGUGAAAUCUCCAAGCUUAACUUGGAAACUGCCGUGGAUACGAGCAUUCUUGAAUCUCGUGGAGGUAAGCGGAAUAUGUCAUGUAGCGGUGAAAUGCUUAGAUAUGACAUAGAACACCGAUAGCGAAGGCAGCUUGCUACACGAGUAUUGACACUGAGGCACGAAAGCGUGGGGAUCAAACAGG
rnacentral:rRNA from 1 species